rfam:Rosellinia necatrix DNA, scaffold: Contig22, strain: W97.
GGCAUGUUGCCAGAGUGGUUAAUGGGUGAGACUUGAAUUCAUGUAUGAAUUAAGCCAUCUCAUGGCUUCGGCCGCGUAGGUUCAAAUCCUGCACAUGUCG